GACAGAGGGUGCAAACGUUGUUCGGAAUUAUUGGGCGUAAAGAGCUUGUAGGCGGUCUGUCGCGUCUGCUGUGAAAAUCCGGGGCUCAACCCCGGACUUGCAGUGGGUACGGGCAGACUAGAGUGUGGUAGGGGAGACUGGAAUUCCUGGUGUAGCGGUGAAAUGCGCAGAUAUCAGGAGGAACACCGGUGGCGAAGGCGGGUCUCUGGGCCGAUACUGACGCUGAGGAGCGAAGGCGUGGGGAGCGAACAGG
rnacentral:rRNA from 1 species